CUCCAAAUGCAAUCAACGCUCUUCCCUCCCUCGCCAUCACUUCCUCAACCCAAACACCAGCAAUGCUUCUAACCAGACCCCAAGACCUCCUCUCACCAUUCCCUUUCUCUCUCCUCCCAAACCCCAACCCUAACCUCAAAGCAACCAGACUCGCAUCCACUCCCAUCCGCAAUGCCCUCGCACUCCCCUUUCUCUCUCUUCCCUUCCCCGCACCCCGCACUCGCCGAUUACCUCCGCUGGCGUCGAGUACUUUCGUCGAACAGUUGGUGGACUCGACCGAUAACGAAAGCUUCAAUUUCGACGCCUCUUUCGAGUCUCCGGAAUUGAAGAAGCUGGUGAAGUCGCCGCCGCUGGAGGUUCGGGAGCUGGAGGAGCUGCCUGAGCAGUGGCGGAGGACGAAGUUGGCGUGGCUGUGUAAGGAGUUGCCGGCGCACAAGGCGUCGAUGCUGGUUCGGAUACUCAAUGCGCAGCGGAAGUGGAUUAGGCAAGAGGAUGGGACCUAUGUGGCCGUUCAUUGCAUGCGGAUUCGCGAAAAUGAGACGGGGUUUAGGGUAUACAAAUGGAUGAUGCAACAACAUUGGUUUCGAUUUGAUUUUGCUCUUGCUACUAAGUUAGCUGAUUUCUUGGGAAAGGAGCGAAAAUACUUGAAGUGUCGGGAGAUAUUUGAUGACAUAAUCAAUCAGGGGCGAGUGCCUAGUGAGUCCACCUUUCAUAUUUUGAUAACUGCCUAUCUAAGUUCGCAAGGUCACGGUUGCUUAGAUCAGGCAUGCAGCAUUUAUAAUCGCAUGAUUCAACUGGGUGGCUACAAGCCCCCACUUAGCUUGCACAACUCUCUAUUCAGAGCCCUUGUGAGCAAUCCAGGAGGCUCUUCUAAAAAGUAUCUCAAACAGGCAGAGUUCAUAUAUCAUAAUCUUGUAACUUCUGAACUUGAGAUACAUAAGGAUAUAUACGGCGGUCUGAUUUGGCUCCACAGUUACCAGGACAACAUAGACAAGGAGAGAAUAGAAUCAUUAAGAUCAGAAUUGCAGGUAGCGGGAAUUCAAGAGAGAAGAGAGGUGCUUGUGUCCAUCUUGAGAGCUUGUUCCAAAAAUGGGGAUGUGCAGGAAGCUGAAAGAGUUUGGCUCAAACUCAUUCAUUGUGAGGGUUCUCUCCCUUAUCAAGCUUUUGUGCAUAGAAUGGGAGUCUAUGCAAAGGUUGGACAACCUCUUAAAUCUUUGGAGAUAUUCAGGAGAAUGCAGGAGCACUUGGGUUCCACCAAUGUUGUCGCAUAUCUGAAAAUCAUAGAGGUGUUAUCUAAAGCUCGAAAAAUCGAACUUGCAGAGUCACUUAUGGGAGAGUUCAUGGAGAGUGGUUUGAAGCCAAUAGGGCCAUCUUUUGUUGAUCUAAUGGAUAUGUAUUUCAGUUUAGAUUUGCAUGACAAAUUGGAGUCAACUUUCUUCCAGAGCCUUGAGAAACGCCGUCCCAAUCGUACUAUUUAUAACAUAUACUUGGAUUCACUGGUAAAAACUGGCAAUAUUGGGAAGGCUGAAGAAAUUUUCAACCAAAUGCUCAGUAAUGGUACAAUUGGUGUUAACACCCGAUCAAGUAACAGUAUCUUAAGUGGUUACCUGUCUAAUGGAGAGUAUGUGAAGGCAGAGAAGAUAUAUGAUUUAAUGUGCCAGAAAAAAUAUGUUGUAGAACCCCCACUGAUGGAAAAACUUGAUUAUGUUAUGAGCUUGAGCAAGAAAGUUGUCAAAAAGCCUGUGAGUUUGAAACUCAGCGUGGAGCAGCGAGAGAUUUUGAUGGGGUUGCUGUUAGGCGGGCUGCGCAUUGAAUCAGAUGAAGCGGGAAAGAAACAUGCACUCCAUUUUGUGUUCAGUGGGAAACUUGACUCGCACACUUCAUUAAAAAGGCAUAUAUAUGACCAGUUCCAUGAGUGGUUAGCUUCUUCAUUCAAACCCAUUGAUGGCAGUGAUGACAUACCAUGCCAGUUUUUUACAGUAUCGCACUCUUACUUUGGUUUCUAUGCAGACCAGUUCUGGCCAAAGGGCCAAGCUGUGAUUCCGAAGCUAAUUCAUCGGUGGUUGUCACCACGGGUUCUUGGGUACUGGUAUAUGUUUGCGGGCUACCGAACAUCAUCAGGCGAUAUUUUGUUGAAGGUAAAGGGAAGUCAAGAGGGUGCUGAGAGGAUUGUGAAGGCAUUGAAGGCAAAAUCUUUGGACUGCAAGGUAAAAAAGAAGGGGAGGGUGUUUUGGUUAGGUUUUCUGGGAAGCAAUUCAACGUUGUUGUGGAAACUCAUAGAACCUUAUGUUCUAGAUGAUUUGAGUGAUUUUCUGGAAGCAGGUGGCCAAUCCUUAGAGAGAAUAUCAGAAAACAGUUUUGGUGGUCAGUCUGAUUCUGAUGAUGUGGCAUCAGACUACAGCGAUCAUGAUUAUUCUUCAGAUUUCUAGUUUCAUUGUUUGCUCAGUUUUUAUGAUAUUGUCUGGUCAAACUCUUCAAGUUGGUUACUGGAUGAAUCCUUUUUUGCACUGUACCUAACAAGCUUAUGGAGUAGAAUGUCAUUCUUUAUGAAGUGCACUAGUUGGGAUCACAUCAAAUAGUUCUUAUGCAUCAGUUUCCAACUGCUGAAUGUGGAUCGUAUUGAGCUAAGCAACAUCUUUCGCUAUCUUAUCUUUGCCUUUUCUGUUUACCAUUAAUCACAAGAGGGUUUUACAACCCUGUGACGUAAGAACUAUGCCACUGUAAACAUCACUGGUUUCUGCAUCUCCAGUUUAUGAAAACUUUCUGGAUUCCAACUUGAUGGCCUGCAUUGGGCCGAUUGGGCUCUCCUACCAAGUUUCCAACCCAUUUAAUUGGUCUUAGCUUGCUUAGGUAUUGCUGUUGGUUCAUUGGAGUGAUUUUCUUCCUGGAUGGAAUGGAGCAUGGAAUGCGACAGCCUUAAUUGUUAUUUUGAUGUUUGGUUUGUGCAUGAAUCAGUUCAAAGCUCUCAUUUUGAUACCUGUGAUUAGUUGCUGAAAUAAUGCAUAGACUGGGACGAAUUUUUCAAUGCAAUUUUGCCACAACCACAAACCUUUACACAGCCUCACACACAAUAUUUGUGGGGUCCACACACACUGCACACCUCCAGUGUGUGUAGGGCCCACAUGUCUUGUGAGUGAGUGUGUGUAUUUGUUUGUGGUUGUAGCAUUUUCUGCUUCAACAAGCAGACCAAGUACCCCGUCCUUUUUUUAAUUUUUCUUCGAAAUGGCUGUAAGAAGUUUUGGACAAAAGCUUCGCUCUUUACAAAACACAAUUUUUGAAGUUUACAGGCCCUUAUCUUUUACUAUAUAAUAUAGUUCCACUGCUUUGCUUUCUUUGGCAAUGUUGUCUCAUUGCAAAGUUUUGCUAUACAUCGGAGAAGUACCCAAAAUUAGUUUGUGAGGUAGAUUAACCCGAUUUGCCCUAAGUUUGAAUCUACACCCCAAACUUCACUUUCUGGGGUAUUCUAGAUGCAAUUAUUGUUGCAUUUUGAAUAUUCAACCUUUAGAUUCUUGUUGACUAAUAGUUUAACAUUAUGCAUCUUGAUUUCUUGUUGCUUGCCUUCUGAAGGAUGCUUCUGAUAAGAGGAGAAUUAUAAGUGAUGGGUGAUCUGUUUGCAGGCUUCUUCCUUUGAUGCUAGAUACAGGGAACUUUUGAGAAAAAGUACCCCUGGUGUGGUGUUUCUACAAACCAAGAAAUAUAAGCUUAAGUUUACAAACUCUAUUUUUUUAAUCUCUGCAUCUUUACAUCUCAUUUGUUCUUUCUUUUUCUUUUUCUCCUUCUUUGAGCAGUUAGCAACGUUCAGAAUACUGAGAUAAUUGCUGGAUUUUAGUUGGUUUGCUUGUUAGCAAUGAGGGACACAUUAUGACUUGUUUCCACUGUGUUUGCCCCUCAAGCUAUGUCCCAACCUUAGAGAAUUUAGGCUAUGUAGAGUUACAGAGAACCCAAUGUUGAUGUGUCCUUUGAUAGGACACUCCCUAUUUUGGAAGACAGAAGUUGUAACCUUAGUUCUUGACCUAGACAUAGCUAUUUUGAAAGCCUCUUUUCUCCCCGAUUCACUAAAGUGCAAUAUUAUCACUUUGUCUAAAUCUCCCGCGAAGCUGGUGAUUUGUGCCUAGUCAUAGGACACCCAAGGGUAGAAUAUGCUUCUAGGUUUGGUUUUGUUUCUUCCCCAAAUAGGUACCCCUACCAUUUUUCAGAUAAUGUUUUUGAGACCCCCUUCAAAAAGGUGGUGGCCGGAUAUGAUAUGAUGAAAGUUGGUAUAUUCUUGAGCCAAGGGUUCUCUGGUUCUCCUUUCUUAAACGCUGGGGGAGAAACUAUUGUCAUUUACGAGGGGGCUAGGUGGAAGUGCUCUAGGUAUACCAGCAAUUUUCUGUGCGGAGGUUUUAUCGUAUGCCAUGAACAAGGGUAAAAGUGAUGCUGUUAUUGUGGAAAAUUUUCCGUUUGUAACAGGUUUGUUCUUUGUUGUUUCAAUUACUUUCUUUGUAAAAUUCCAUCAAAUAGUCUUAUCAACUUGAUUUCUAAUAUUGUUGAUGACAAUGCAGGUGAUGGAAUAAAAGGUUGCCAAAUGAAGAAUAGGUUUUAUAGUGCUUUAUGAGAGUGUGUCUCUCUCGGGUUGUCACAGCCUCUAAAUCAUUUCUAGAAUUGUUUACAUUGGUAAAUUUUUGUUUAGUGAAUAACUUUGCUCUUUAGUGUAUCGAGAAGAAAAGAGGCUUUCAAAAUAGCUACGUCUAGGUCAGGAACUAAGGUCACAACUUCUGUCUUCACACUAGGGAGUGUCCUAUCAAAGGACACAUCAACAUUGGGUUCAGAGUACUGUAACUCUACAGAGUCUAGAUCCUCUAAGGUUGGGACAUGGCUUUGUUGGAAGUCUAAUCCGCCUGAGGUCUUCCUGUAUGCGCGCAGGCCCAAUCCACUAGAGAGUGUCCACGGAGCCCACACCACAUCGCAUGGACCCAAUAUACAUUAGAUGACCCAUAUCUACUUAAAAGGCUAAGCCUUGUAAAUAGUGAGCCAUCCAAUUGUAUAUUAAGGUCCAACCUUUUUUCUAUUUAUCCUGGGUCUCAACCUUUCACACAUGUUCCCUAACAAUUUUGUGAAGUGUACAGGCCCUUAUCUUUUACUGUAUAAUAUAGUUCCACUGCCUUGCUUUCUUUGGCAAUGUGGUUUCGUUGCAAAGUUCUGCUAUACACCGGAGAAGUACCCAAAAUUAGUUUGUGAGGUAGAUUAACCUGAUCUGCCUUAAGUUUGAAUCUACACCACAAACUCCACUUUCUGGGUAUUCUAGAUGCAAUUGUUGUUGCAUUUUGAAUAUUCGAACUUUAGAUUCUUGUUGACUAACAGUCCAACAUUAUGCAUCUUGAUUUCUUGCGGCUUGCCUUCUGAUGGAUGCUUUUGAUAAGAGGAGAAUUACAAGUGAUGGGAAGCUGAAAGAACUCUGCAGUUGAUUCUUUUGAGCGCUUGAAUGUUGCAAAGCAUCUGUCUGCUCUCAUUUCAUUAAGAUCCUGCAUUCAUACGACUUGGGUCUUGGGGAGCUUAUUAAAAGGAGAAGACUAACCCAGUUUCUGCUAAUUCCAUCUAAAGGAUUCCUCCACACAACAACUUUCUUCUGUUUCAAGCCUUCCUCUAAAUCUAGGCCAAAUCUGAAUGAUGAUAUAGAUUUGAGUCAAUGCAAGACACUGAUAUAAUUAUUCCAAUGGCAUGCAUUCAAGGGGAGGGUUUGAUGUCAGUGUAAUGGUGAAUCAUGGAUGAUGUCAAGGAAUCAACGGCCGUGGACAAAAAGAAUCUCUGUAAAAUAUUCAAAACAACCUUGUGGAGACAGCUGCAUGUGUCCCCAACAAACUCACCCUAGUUAUUAAUGGACGGUGGUCUUUAAAUUUUUUGGGGCAACCCAUUGAUGUAGCCUUUUCUAGAUCUCUCUGCAGCGUUUAUGAUGACAACGUGAGUCUUAUGCAAGUUUGAUACCCUUCCCCAUGGCAUCAGUUAACACAUAACCUAACCCCCAGUGAUUCAAUGGCUUGCUUAGGGAAACGGGUACCCUGCAGGGUGCACUACAUGGGUGCACGAUCCUACAAUCAAUGGUCCAAAUUUCAAAAAGUAUCGAUACUUCUAGCAAAUUUGGACUAUUAUAAACACUUUUGGACUGCUCGGUUUGGGCACUACAUCAUGGAGUACAGCUGUGGUCAUUAGUGAAUGUGCAAUUUUUCUUUUGUGGUGAUUCUACCAUGUAGUAUCACUCUUAUCCUGCGGAAUUUGAAGUGAAAAAUAUGAGAUUAAGAAUUGAGAUAUGUUGAGUCGAUAAAUGAAGCAUAAUUUCAUC